CCUACGGGAGGCAGCAGUAGGGAAUCUUUCACAAUGGGCGAAAGCCUGAUGGAGCAACGCCGCGUGCAGGAUGAAGGCCUUCGGGUUGUAAACUGCUUUUAUAAGCGAGAAAUAUGAUGGUAACUUAUGAAUAAGGCUCGGCUAACUACGUGCCAGCAGCCGCGGUCAUACGUAGGAUCCGAGGAUGAUCCGGAGUGACUGGGUGUAAAGAGUUGCGUAGGUGGCAUAAUAAGUAGCUAGUGAAAUCUGGUGGCUCAACCAUUCAGACUAUUAGGUAAACUGUUAAGCUCGAGACCGUUAGGGGUAACUGGAAUUUGUAGUGUAGGAGUGAAAUCCGUAGAUAUUAGAAGGAACACCAAUAGCGUAGGCAGGUUGCUGGGACGGUUCUGACACUAAGGCACGAAAGCGUAGGGAGCAAACGGGAUUAGAUACCCUUGUAGUC
rnacentral:rRNA from 1 species